GCCGCCGUGACGUCACGCCCCCCGCGGGUCUGGGGGGCGGGGCUGAGGGCGGGGCCCGGCGGCCCUGAGGGAGCUCGGCCGGCCCGGCCCGCACCAUGCCGGGGCUCGUCGUGUUCGGCCGCCGCUGGGCCAUCGGCAGCGACGACUUCGUGCUCCCGGGCGCCUUCGAGCUGUUCGUGCGCCUGGUGUGGUGGGUUGGGAUCCUCGUCCUUUACGCGGUGCACAAGGGGGAGUUUAACUGUCCCGGGGGAAGGUUGCUGCACAGCUACUUGAUCGUCCUCAUCCUCCUCCUGGCUUCCAUAAUAUGUGUGUUAUCUGCUCUUGUGUACAUCAGUAUGCAAGGAACAAUCUCUAAUCCAGGCCCAAGAAAAUCACUUCCCAAAGUCCUUUAUACUCGCCUGCUUCUCUAUUUCCCUGAAUUCAUCUGGGCUGUGCUGGGAGCUGUGUGGGUGUCAGACAGCAGUGUGCACUGUGAGAAGACUGUGAUAAAUGCCAUCAUUUGGACAGUUAUUGCCAGCUGGGUUAUCAUCAUCUUUACCAUCAUUGGAGUGCUCAUUGUCUUUGACCCGCUCGGGGGGAAGAAGACGCUUUACCUGACGGACGGCAUGAGCCGGAACCUGGAGAGCAGCCAGUCGGGGCAGCUGCUGUACAACGUGAAGAGCUCUGCCACCAGGGUGUGGGAGAAGAGGAUCAGGCUGCUGUGCUGCUGCAUCGUGCAGGAUGACGACCACCGGGUGGCCUUCACCAGCAUCGCCGAGCUCUUCCGCACCUACUUCUCGGACACUGAUCUGGUGCCAAGUGACAUAGCAGCUGGUUUGAUUCUGCUCCACCAGGAGCAAGAUAAAAUGGAGAGUUGCCCAAAAGAGCCCGAAGAAGUCCUGUGUCAUUCUCCAUCAUCUCUCGUGACUGAUGAUCUGGAUGUGGAGCUGGAGAAUGCUGCUCACUACAUGCUGUUUGCUGCAGCUGCCUAUGGAUGGCCCUACUACGUGUACACCAACCCAUUUACUGCACUCUGUAAGCUCAAAGGUGACUGCUGCGGAAAUAGACCAACAGAUUCUGAUAUAACGGGCAGUGAUCGGCAUAACUUUCACUUUGGAUCCAUCCUAAAUAUAACAGGACUGCAGUACAGAGACUUCAUUCAUAUCAGUUUUCAUAACAAGAUCUAUGAGAUUCCAUUUUUUGUUGCUUUGGAUCACAAAAAAGAAGCUAUUGUGGUUGCGGUGAGAGGAACCUUGUCCUUUGAGGACAUCCUCACGGAUCUCUCAGCAGACUGUGAAGACCUGACCCUGGAGGAUGUUCUGGAGAAUGGCUUUGUGCAUAAGGGAAUAACUCAAGCUGCAACUUACAUCUAUCGAAAACUAAUAAAUGACGGAAUUUUAAACCAGGCUUUCACAAUUGCUCCAGAAUAUAAACUUGUGAUAGUUGGUCACAGUUUGGGUGGUGGGACAGCGGCUAUCUUGGCCAUCAUGCUCAGGAACUCCUUCCCCACGCUGAAGUGUUACGCCUUCUCUCCUCCAGGAGGGCUCUUAAGCAAAUCACUCGCAGAUUACACCAAGCACUUCAUUAUUUCAGUCAUUGUUGGAAAAGACCUCGUUGCAAGGUUAAGUAUGCCCAACAUGGAGGAUUUGAAGAGGAGGAUCGUGAGAAUUGUGGCAAACUGCAACAGACCCAAGUACCAGAUUUUGCUGAGGGGGUGCUGGUACGAGGUAUUUGGAGGAGAUCCCGAUGACUUCCCCACGGAGCUGGAUGGGAGGAACCAGGAAGCCCUGAGCCAGCCCCUUCUGGCCGAGGAGAGUUUAAUGGUUCAUCGCUCACCCUCAUACAACGCCCUGGAGGAUGAAUCACACCAGAAUUCACCACCUCAGUAUCCUCAUCUGUACCUUCCUGGAAAGAUUAUCCACAUUGUAGAGGAAUCCAGCUCUCGGAGGUUGUGUUCUUCAGACAUUAAAUACACGGCGAGAUGGUCAAACGAAACGGUCUUCAGCAGCAUUUUAAUCAGUCCCAAGAUGAUCACAGACCACAUGCCAGACGUUGUGCUCAAAGCUCUGAACAGUUUGUCUCAGGAACAUGGAGGGUGUCUGUCCUGUCAGCCCCGAGAGUACACCCCCGGUGCAGUGUAACACAGCUCGGGCAGGAGCUGGGGGGCUUUCUUUGCAGGUUUCAGCUGUUCAGGACACAUUCCACUUUCAUGCCUAAGUGGAUUUCAGUACUUUUCUCACACUGCAUAAAAUGAACAAGAGUCUUACGGCCCUUGCCUCUGCAGCGACCUCGAGGAAUGUUGUGCUUGGCUGAAGCACCAGGUCUGUCUGUGCUGGGGUUGGGCUCUCCCCAGCGGAUCAGUCCCGGCCCAGC